rnacentral:rRNA from 1 species
GACAGAGGUGCCGAGCGUUAGGCGGAAUCACUGGGCUUAAAGCGUGUGUAGGCGGACUUCUAAGUACCCUUGUGAAAUCCCACGGCUCAACCGUGGAACGGCCCCGGGUACGGGCGGCCUCGAGGGGGGUAGGGGCGUGCGGAACUGUGGGUGGAGCGGUGAAAUGCGUUGAUAUCCGAAGGAACACCGGUGGCGAAGCGGCUCACUGGGUCUUUCUGACGCUGAUGCACGGAAAGCUAGGGGAGCAAACGGG